UACAGAGGUGGCAAGCGUUGUUCGGAAUUACUGGGCGUAAAGGGCGCGUAGGCGGCCUUCUAAGUCAGACGUGAAAUCCCCCGGCUUAACCUGGGAACUGCGUCUGAUACUGGAGGGCUUGAGUGCGGGAGAGGGAUGUGGAAUUCCAGGUGUAGCGGUGAAAUGCGUAGAUAUCUGGAGGAACACCGGUGGCGAAGGCGGCAUCCUGGACCGACACUGACGCUGAGGAGCGAAAGCUAGGGGAGCAAACGGG
rnacentral:rRNA from 1 species